rnacentral:tRNA from 1 species
GGGCGUGUAGAUCAGCCUGGAAGAUCGCUACCUUGGCAUGGUAGAAGCCCCGAGUUCAAAUCUCGGCUCGUCCA